UACGUAGGGACCGAGCGUUGUCCGGAUUCAUUGGGCGUAAGAGCUCGUAGGCGGCUGCUCAAGUCGAAUGUGAAAACUCGAGGCUCAACCUCGAGCCUGCAUUCGAUACUGGGCGGCUAGAGUCUGGUAGGGGAUCUGGAAUUCCUGGUGUAGCGGUGGAAUGCGCAGAUAUCAGGAGGAACGACCGGCUGGCGAAGGCGGGAUCCUGGGCCAGUACUGACGCUGAGGAGCGAAAGCGUGGG
rnacentral:rRNA from 1 species